UACGAAGGGGGCUAGCGUUGCUCGGAAUCACUGGGCGUAAAGCGCACGUAGGCGGCUUUCUAAGUCAGGGGUGAAAUCCUGGAGCUCAACUCCAGAACUGCCUUUGAUACUGGAGAGCUAGAGUCCGGAAGAGGCGAGUGGAAUUCCUGGUGUAGCGGUGGAAUGCGCAGAUAUCAGGAAGAACACCAACGGCGAAGGCAGCUCGCUGGGACGGUACUGACGCUGAGACGCGAAAGCGUGGGGAGCGAACAGG
rnacentral:rRNA from 1 species